UACGAAGGGGGCUAGCGUUGCUCGGAAUCACUGGGCGUAAAGCGCACGUAGGCGGAUUGCUAAGUCGGGGGUGAAAUCCCGAGGCUCAACCUCGGAACUGCCUUCGAUACUGGCGAUCUUCGAGUCCGGGAGAGGUGAGUGGAACUCCGAGUGUAGAGGUGAAAUUCGUAGAUAUUCGGAAGAACACCAGUGGCGAAGGCGGCUCACUGGCCCGGUACUGACGCUGAGAGUACGAAAGCGUGGGGAGCCAAACAGG
rnacentral:rRNA from 1 species